rnacentral:rRNA from 1 species
UACGAAGGGGGGCUAGCGUUGCUCGGAAUGACUGGGCGUAAAGGGCGCGUAGGCGGAUGGCACAGUCAGAUGUGAAAUUCCCGGGCUUAACCUGGGGGCUGCAUUUGAUACGUGUUGUCUUGAGUUCGGAAGAGGGUCGUGGAAUUCCCAGUGUAGAGGUGAAAUUCGUAGAUAUUGGGAAGAACACCGGUGGCGAAGGCGGCGACCUGGUCCGACACUGACGCUGAGGCGCGAAAGCGUGGGGGAGCAAACAGG